UACGUAGGGUGCGAGCGUUGUCCGGAAUUAUUGGGCGUAAAGGGCUCGUAGGCGGUCCAUCGCGUCGGGAGUGAAAAGCUGGGGCUUAACCCCAGUCCUGCUUUCGAUACGGGUGGACUAGAGGUAGGCAGGGGAGAAUGGAAUUCCUGGUGUAGCGGUGAAAUGCGCAGAUAUCAGGAGGAACACCAAUUGCGAAGGCAGCUCGCUGGGACGUGACUGACGCUGAGACGCGAAAGCGUGGGGAGCAAACAGG
rnacentral:rRNA from 1 species